AAAACACAAACAGUUCUGUUAAAAUGUGGACUUGACGAAUCACUCAAUUCUCACAAUGACAAUAUACUAUUUUUUUGUCGUUCUGAUCUCUUUGAACGUUUUCCUGUUUCUGGACAGCAUUGAAUCAAUUGAAUCAAGGUUAUGUGGCGCCUCAAACUGUACUGAGAAAUGUUGCCUUGGUUCAAAUUUUUACCCACUGUGUCGAACAAGUUGCGAAGGAUUGAUUUGUAUGUACAACGAAAAUUGUGACGGUGGUUUUUGCUGUGUACGCCAAUGUGUAAAAAAUUCGUUGGCCUGUCAAGACAUUUUGCCGACUCAAAGUCGAAGAUCAGGUGAUGAUGAUAAAAGUGGUGAUUUUGCGACAUGGGAAUUUGCUUUGAUUGUUCUGGCCAGUGUAAUUGCUGGAAUUUUGUUGUGCAUUCUGGUUAUAUGGGGAUGUAGAGCGUUCAUCUCGAGGAUUUGAAAGUCAGUAUAUUCUCUGGCCGUUUUAUUGAUAUUAAUUUAAAGUUUUCAGUAAAUAGUUGCGUCUUUGCACAGUUGACUAUCGGAGAUGAUUUCGAAGCGUUGAACAAUAUACUGGAAUGUGAAAUCGUUAAUGAAAAUUUUAUAUUAAGAACGGAUAAAAUUCGACAAACCAUGCCUUAACUGAUCACAAAUUACUUGAAAUUAUUAAAUGUUUUUCUUAUUCCCGGCAACUACUCGGUACUUACAGACUACGUCAUGUUAAGUGUCUCAUUGUAAUAUAGUCUGGAAGAAAUGUAAUGUAAGUUAAUUUUAGUUUUAGAACAAUGAAACUACCUAUUGGAAGAUCGCAUUAAAAAUAUCAGUGAUUAUGACUGAAGCCUGGAGUCAAACGAAAAUGAGAGUGCAUGAGAGAGUGAACUAGAGUUGGUAGUCACGCGACCUUGGUUAGCUGUUCUUAAUGCUUUCCCAUGUAUUCUAUUGAAGUUAAAACAUAGUUGGAACACUUAUCAGUUAUAAAACCUUUAUUUUGUCAAUCUAGAGCUUGAAAUGCCCCCGUAACAAUACGUCACUGCCAACCCCUUUCAACAUUCUUAUCAUGUUGAUUUUGAUAAAGAGUUGAUGAGAGUUUUCGCUACGAGGUCGGUAAUAUCCAGUCAAUUGUCAACUCUCGCGCAACUCUUGUUCUCGUUUGACCGGGGCAUGAGAGCUGAGAAAACUCUCAUGCAACUGACUCUCGCAUCUCAACUCUCAUCGCUUAAGCUAUUAAUCGUGACUAAGCCUCGAUAACUUAUUAACUUAUUUAUAAAAAUGUGAGCUAGUGUCCAACGUUGGCGUCUCCGCGUCUGCGAUAAAUAUAAAACCUUGUG